GACGAACGCUGGCGGCGUGCCUAACACAUGCAAGUCGAACGGAGUUGACCUUCGGGUUAACUUAGUGGCGAACGGGUGAGUAACGCGUGAGAAACCUGCCUUUCAGUGGGGGACAACAGUUGGAAACGACUGCUAAUACCGCAUAAGCCCACACUACCGCAUGGUAGAGUGAGAAAAGAUUUUAUCGCUUUAAGAUGAGCUCGCGUCUGAUUAGCUAGUUGGUGGGGUAACGGCCUACCAAGGCAACGAUCAGUAGCCGGACUGAGAUGUUGAUCGGCCACAUUGGGACUGAGACACGGCCCAGACUCCUACGGGAGGCAGCAGUGGGGAAUAUUGCACAAUGGGGGAAACCCUGAUGCAGCGACGCCGCGUGAGGGAAGAA
rnacentral:rRNA from 1 species